AGGGAUGUAGCUCCGUGAUAAGAGUAUCUUCUUUGCAUGCAAAAGGUCCCAGGUUCGAAUCCCCGGCAUCUCCA